GAUGAAGAACGCAGCGAAAUGCGAUAAGUAGUGUGAAUUGCAGAAUUCAGUGAAUCAUCGAAUCUUUGAACGCACAUUGCGCCCUUUGGUAUUCCAAAGGGCAUGCCUGUUCGAGCGUCAUUUGUACCCUCAAGCUUUGCUUAGUGUUGGGCGUCUUGUCUCUAGCUUUGCUGGAGACUCGCCUUAAAGUAAUUGGCAGCCGGCCUACUGGUUUCGGAGCGCAGCACAAGUCGCACUCUCUAUCAGCAAAGGUCUAGCAUCCAUUAAGCCUUUUUUUCAACUUUUGACCUCGGAUCAGGUAGGGAUACCCGCUGAACUUAAGCAUAUCAAUAAGCGGAGGA
rnacentral:misc_RNA from 1 species